AUGAAAUUGAAGAAAAACUUAAGCUUGGUUCCAGUCGUGCCUAAAGCCGUAGACUCUGGCUGGUGGGAUAGUUUCUUCAAUCCAAGGUCUUUCUUUUCACUAAGCUCAGCCUCCAAUUACUCUGCUUUCUGUUUUUAGUGGAAUGCAUUCAGAUUACUUGUAGUUUUAACUAAAUUAUCUUUAUAUUUUGUUUAUUUUGGAAAAUCUAUGAUGCACAGACGUCUAGAAUAGGUGGUGGAUUUUGUUCUGUAAUGUUAAAUUCGGCAAUGAUGUUCAUAAUUAGAGCUCAAAACCUAUAAACUGUGCUUUUGUUUAGUUAGGCUGUUGGAAAAAUCGGCCUAGGCGGGUCUCUUUUUUUUUUCCUGACUUUAGCUAAAUUAUGAACUCGCUUCAAUUUCUGAUGGCCGCUAUACGAAAAUUGGUUUUUGAUUAUGUGUUUUGCAUCCUGAAAAGAGAGAGAUGUGGUUGAAAAGUUAUUACUAGAGGGAGCGGUAGAGAUUUUAGCCUAUAAAAGUAGUAUGUAAUUGUUAGGAAUCUGGUUUGGCCUAAGUUGGAUGAGUAGUUGGAAAUACUGACUGAAUCAGACUUGGGGAAUAUACAGACACAAACACAUAGUCGGGCUUUGCUUGUUGUCAUAGACUAUGAAGCCGCAAUCCACCUCUGGAAGGUUGACAAGUUUGACUUUGUUGUCUGCAUGAGUGCCUAUAUCGGCGUCGUUUUUGGCAGCCUUGAAAUUGGACUAAUCUUAGCUGUAUGUAUCAUUAUUGUGUGUGACAGUAACACUAUAUCUAACAACUUAAAACUACGCAUUAAAACUAAUAUUUCGUUUUACUUCUGUGCAGGUUGCAAUAUCUGUGAUCAGGGUACUUUUGUUUGUGGCAAGGCCAAGGACUUUUGUUCAAGGAAACCUUCCGAAUUCCAUGGUUUACAGAAAUGUUGAGCAGUAUCCCAAUGCAAGCAAUGUUCCUGGAAUUCUCAUACUUGAGAUUGAUGCUCCCAUUUACUUUGCAAAUACCAACUACUUAAGAGAAAGGUACUAAUUAAUUAAACCUGAGUAAGAACUAAAGAUCUGGGGCUUAAGAUAGAUAAUAGCAAGUACAGGGACUAAGGUUUUGUUGAGUUGUUCUUGAGGUGGUUAUACUAUCUUUUUGUUUUCUGGUCAUGUUUAUGUUCUAGUGAGCCAGAACUAAAGAUUUGGGGCUUAAGAUAGAUAAGUGGCUUAUCCAUGGGACUGGGAAAGAGACAUCCCACUUUGUUUGAGAGGGUUUGAAUCAGACAUUUGAUUUUAUGAUGAUCGCACAAAUUUUCAUUUACAAAUGGAUUGAAUAACUAGUGUAGUGCUUCAAGUUACCAGUCGCUUCUAACCAAGGUGCUUUCUGCUGGUGCCACCAUACUCAUUAAACAUAGAGACCUCUGUGUGUCAUCCGUUUGAUUCUAAUAAUUUCCAAAUGUUAAGUUGGUUAACUGGCCUAGCGUUUGAGCCAUAAAUUACUGAAACAGUCUCAUGAUGAAAGAAUUGAUUGCAUUCUCAUGAUAAUCUUCUCUGAUGUAUUUUGUUUCAUUUGUAGGCACAUAGGUUGGAGAGGACUUGA
rnacentral:lncRNA from 1 species